rnacentral:rRNA from 1 species
AUACGGAGGGUGCGAGCGUUGUCCGGAAUCACUGGGCGUAAAGGGCGCGUAGGCGGUCUGCUAAGCGUGUGGUGAAAGCUCGGGGCUCAACCCCGAGUCUGCCAUGCGAACUGGUGGACUAGAGCACUGUAGAGGCAGGUGGAAUUCCGGGUGUAGCGGUGGAAUGCGUAGGGAUCCGGAAGAACACCAGUGGCGAAGGCGGCCUGCUGGGCAGUAGCUGACGCUGAGGCGCGAUAGCGUGGGGAGC